UGAUAAUUUUAAAUAGUGUGGUCAGGGAAACCACUGAGAGGUAAACUUCGUAUGCCAUAUGUUAUUUGACUUUUUAGAUGUCUUACUGUAUUAAUUUCCUAUUGCUGUGCUAACAAGUUAGCUCAAACUUGGUGACUUAAAACAAUGCAAGUUUAUUAUCUUAUUUUGAAUUCUGUAGGUCAGAAGUCCAACCGGGUAUCACUUAGCUAAAAUCAAGGUGCCAGCAAAGUGCAUUCCUUCUUGAGGUUCUAGGGGCUUUUCCAGCUUCUGGGGGCCACCCACAUUCUUCAGCUUAUGUCCCCCAUCCUCUAUCUUCAGGGCCAGCAACAUUGCACGUCUCUGACCAUCCUUCACAUCUCUUUCUGACUUUCUUCUGUCUUCCCUUUCCCCUUGUAAGAACAUUUGUGAUUACACUGGAUCCACUCAGGUAACCCAGGAUAAUCUCCCCCAUUCCAAAAUCCUUAUGUUCAAUCAUAUCUGCAGAGUCCCUUUUGUUUCACAAAGUAGAAAUUCACAAGUUCUGAGCAUGAGAACAUGGAUAUUUUGGGGGUGGAGAGAGGCUCACAUUAUCCUAUCACACCUACAAAUUGACCUUCUUUUUUAAUUUCUUCUAUCUUGCAAAAAAAAUUAAAUAUAGUAACAAGUGGGAAAUCCUGGGUUUAAGGUGUUGAUAACUUUUGGAAAAGGAAUAACGCACAAGAGUAUCCAUUGAACUAAGCAGUGAACAACUUCCUUUUGAAAUACAACUUGAGGAAAAGGCACUGUCAUUUAUGGAUAAAAAUUGGAGUUGAAACUAAAUAUUUUUGUUACCAAAAGCCAAAUAUACAUUUAUCCUAUAUUUGGUCCAUUCCAGUGGUUUUCAACUAGGGGUGAUUUCAUGCCCCACAGGGGACAUUCAGCAGUGUCUGGAGACCUUUUUGGUUGUCACAACUUGAGGGAGGGGGUGGCCAGAGAUGCUGUUAAAUGUUUUGUGAUGCACAGGCCAACCGCACAGUGAAGAACCACGGGCCCAAAAUGCCAGUAGAGCCAAGGCAGGGGAGCUCUGGUCUAUUCAAAGCCCCUGAUCUGAGUUUGUAACUGAAUUCUGAUAGUGGAAGGACAUGGUGGCAUUCAUUGAGUCCUCUAUGCUUAACUGAAUGUCCCGGGUUACAAUGCCCAGAAGGUAAGUCUUCCAUGAAUGCUAAUCAUUGUUAAUUUUUUCUCAGUGUUAAUGGUUGUCACCUAUUAUAUUAUUUGUUUCCCCCUGACCCAGUUGCUGUACCCAUUUUCCCCCCAAUGUUUUAGUUUAGGGAAAGGUUUUUUAAGUGCAUUUUCUUCUUUUUAUGAAGAGCUGGAAAGUUGUUUAUUCUCUUUUUCAGCUGCUGGGUCAGCUUCCUUUGAGCCUCAUGGGGCCUGUUUUUGUUAUUAUUUUGAGUCCUUGAACUUAAGGCAGAACAUGCCAAGAGAUUGUAGACCCUUUUCUUGUGGAAAGAGUCACAUCUGAGUUGAAACCGAGACAUCAUAUGAAAUAAAGUUUCUGAUGUUUAUCUUGCCUGCACCACUGAUGAUGUGGCUUUUUCAAAAAUAUUUGGCCAAAUCAUCUUGUCCUUCUAUUUGACCACCCUAUGGAUUUUAAAAGACCAACUUAAGUCCCUCAAUAAUGAAGUAUCUGGGAUGCAUAACACAAGGAUGCUGACGUUCAAAGCCAUUGCUCAGGUUUUCAUUCUGGGCUCUUCUUGGGCCCUUGGCUUCUUUCUGGUGGAAGGAGUGCUGGACCCUGUCAGGUUGGUGAUGACCUUCACCAUCAUCAGCAUCCUCCAGGGCGUCCAUGUCUACUUGGUCCACUGCCUUCUGAAUCACAAGAAGCAGGCAAAGGGAGCUGGCCACGGAAUGGGGCAGUGAGGGUGAGGAACACAGAAUACUCGUCGUGUCUGUGGGCCACCCAGUGACUCCUGCGUGGACUUCUUGAUGGUUUCCACAACACAGUCUCCUGGACUAUGGCUAAAAGGGACUGCAGCAAGUUAAUGGGCCACUGCAAGGACCACAGCUGGGACCACGGUAUGUCUGUCUGUUACCUGAUGCAAAGACACAGAGCGUGAGCAGGGGAGGGGCAGAGAGAGAGGGAGACACAGA